rnacentral:rRNA from 1 species
UACGUAGGGGGCUAGCGUUGCUCGGAAUCACUGGGCGUAAAGCGCACGUAGGCGGACUUUUAAGUCAGGGGUGAAAUCCUGGAGCUCAACUCCAGAACUGCCUUUGAUACUGGAAGUCUUGAGUUCGAGAGAGGUGAGUGGAACUGCGAGUGUAGAGGUGAAAUUCGUAGAUAUUCGCAAGAACACCAGUGGCGAAGGCGGCUCACUGGCUCGAUACUGACGCUGAGGUGCGAAAGCGUGGGGAGCAAACAGG